AACGAACGCUGGCGGCAGGCCUAACACAUGCAAGUCGAGCGAGGUAGCAAUACCUAGCGGCGGACGGGUGAGUAACGCGUGGGAACGUGCCCUUUGCUACGGAAUAGCCCUGGGAAACUGGGAGUAAUACCGUAUGUGCCCUUCGGGGGAAAGAUUUAUCGGCAAAGGAUCGGCCCGCGUUGGAUUAGGUAGUUGGUGGGGUAAUGGCCUUCCAAGCCGACGAUCCAUAGCUGGUUUGAGAGGAUGAUCAGCCACACUGGGACUGAGACACGGCCCAGACUCCUACGGGAGGCAGCAGUGGGGAAUCUUAGACAAUGGGCGCAAGCCUGAUCUAGCCAUGCCGCGUGAGCGAUGAAGGCCUUAGGGUUGUAAAGCUCUUUCGUGGGGGAAGAUAAUGACUGUACCCCAAGAAGAAGCCCCGGCUAACUCCGUGCCAGCCGCCGCCGUAACAC
rnacentral:rRNA from 1 species